CUGGCACAGAAUAGAAACUUUACAGAAGGCCAACUUCUUCGUUUUUGCCUAUGAUUUUGGCGUGACCAUUGCAAUGCUGUCGCCAUGUUCCUAGACAGUGUGCUUAUGAGAGGCAUUCACCCCCUGUUAAUAGAGCAUGGUUAAUGGAACUGAGAUAGUGAUAUGUUUGGUUAGCUGGACCCAUUGAACUAUAAAUAAACUGGAAGGCUAACUCAGGGGGGGAAAUUGAAGCCAGUGCAUUUUAGUUUUUCUGAGUUAUGAGCAGAAAUACUCAACACUGAACGUUGGGCUAUAUAUCAAAUUGAAG